UACGGGGGGGGCAAGCGUUGUUCGGAAUUACUGGGCGUAAAGGGCUCGUAGGCGGCCAACUAAGUCAAACGUGAAAUCCCUCGGCUUAACCGGGGAACUGCGCUUGAUACUGGAUGGCUUGAGAUUGGGAGAGGGAUGCGGAAUUCCAGGUGUGGCGGUGAAAUGCGUAGAUAUCUGGAGGAACACCGGUGGCGAAGGCGGCAUCCUGGACCGACACUGACGCUGAGGAGCGAAAGCCAGGGGAGCAAACGGG
rnacentral:rRNA from 1 species